rnacentral:misc_RNA from 1 species
GAAAUGCGAUACGUAAUGUGAAUUGCAGAAUUCAGUGAAUCAUUGAAUCUUUGAACGCACCUUGCGCCCCUUGGCAUUCCGAGGGGCACACCCGUUUGAGUGUCGUGAAUAUCCUCAACCUUCUCUUUGGAGAAGGCUUGGACUUUGGAGGCUUUUGCUGGCCUCUCUUGAAGCCAGCUCCUCUUAAAUGCAUUAGCGGGGGUUUCCUUUUGGUCAAUCCUUGACGUGAUAAGAUAUUUUCUACGUUUGGGGCUUGGCUUAUUGAGACCCGCUUCUAAUGGUCUCAUAGAGACGCUUGAUGAACCCUUUGACCUCAAAUCGGGUGAGACUACCCGCUGAACUUAA